rnacentral:pre_miRNA from 1 species
GGCUGUGAGUUGGCUUAAUCUCAGCUGGCAACUGUGAGACGUUCAUACAAUCCCUCACAGUGGUCUCUGGGAUUAUGCUAAACAGAGCA